AAUCAACGCUGGCGGCGUGCCUAACACAUGCAAGUCGAGCGAGAAAGGGUAGCAAUAUCCGAGUAAAGCGGCGCACGGGUGAGUAACACGUGGGUAAUCUGCCUCGAAGUGGGGAAUAACACCGGUAAACCGGUUCUAAUACCGCAGAAUCUGGCGAAAUCUGCGGAGUUUGUCAGCAAAGGAGCAAUUCGCUUUGAGAGGAGCCCGCGGCUGAGUAGCUAGUUGGUGGGGUCAUGGCUCACAAAGGCGACGAUCAGUAGCCGGUCUGAGAGGACGGUCGGCCACACUGGAACUGAGACACGGUCCAGACUCCUACGGGAGGCAGCAGUGGGGAAUUUUUGGCAAUGGGGGCAACCCUGACCAAGCAACGCCGCGUGAGUGAUGAAGUCUCUUGGGACGUAAAACCCUUUCGACAGGGACGAAACCGCAAGGUUGACGGUACCUGUAGAAGAAGCCCCGGUUAACUCCGUGCCAGCCGCCGCCGUAAUAC
rnacentral:rRNA from 1 species